AGAACGAACGCUGGCGGCGUGGAUAAGACAUGCAAGUCGAACGAGCUCAGUUUUGUAGCAAUACAGGGCUAAGCUAGUGGCGAACGGGUGCGUAACACGUGAGCAAUCUGCCUUAAAGUGGGGGAUAGCUCGCCGAAAGGCGAAUUAAUACCGAAUGUGGUUGUAAAACCAAAGCCGGGGCAACCUGGCGCUUUUAGAGGGGCUCGCGGCCUAUCAGCUUGUUGGUGAGGUAACGGCUCACCAAGGCGACGACGGGUA
rnacentral:rRNA from 1 species